UACAGAGGGUGCAAGCGUUGUUCGGAAUUAUUGGGCGUAAAGCGCGUGUAGGCGGCUUUGCAAGUCGGGUGUGAAAGCCCUCGGCUCAACCGAGGAAGUGCGCCCGAAACUGCAGAGCUUGAGUGUCGGAGAGGAUAGCGGAACACCCGGUGUAGAGGUGAAAUUCGUAGAUAUCGGGUAGAACACCAGUGGCGAAGGCGGCUAUCUGGACGACAACUGACGCUGAGACGCGAAAGCGUGGGGAGCAAACAGG
rnacentral:rRNA from 1 species